UCCUGCCAGAAUCAUAUGCUUGUCCCGAAGCUUAAGCCAUGCAUGUGUCAGAACAAUAGUAGCUUGAUCUAGAAUCUGCGAACGGCUCCGUAUAUCUGUUAUAACCUACCGCCGCUCAAAACCAGCGGCAUAACCACGGUAAUUCUGUGGCUAAUACGUGUACUACGGGCGCUGCCGGGCGCAAGCCUGGCGGCCCUGGUCUUGCCGGUCGACCAACGGCGGGUAAAACCGCUCGCGUGAGAGCUGGCAAGGGUACCUGACCGCGGCACCAGCUGCGGCACGAGCGGUGGGCAUCAGACCUAUCAACUAGAUGCCCAGGUAUUGUCUGGGCAUGGUGAUAACGGGUACAGAGGAUCAGGGUUCGGUCCUGGAGAGGUAGCCUGAGAGAUCGCUACUACUUCUAAGGAAGGCAGCAGGCGCGCAACGUUCCCAAUGGGGGCACCCUGAGGACGUGAAGGGACAUAUCAAUGCCCGGCCCUUAAAGCCGGGCAAUUGAAAUGGGGGACCUUUAAACCCCACACCGAGUAACAAUUGGAGGACAAGUCUGGUGCCAGCACCCGCGGUAAUUCCAGCUCCAAUAGCAUCUUGUUAAGUUGUUGCAGUUAAAACGCUCGUAGUCAAAGCCAGUGCGUCCCCUGGGCUCCUAGUACUGCGGUGCGCCCGGACGGGCGGGGCUUCAGUGUCCCGACCGCCCACCCUCGGCACUUUACUUUGAACAAACGUGAGCGCUCGAAGCAGGCCAUAUCGGCCCUUGAAACCCGCAGCAAAGAAUAAUGAAGCAGGAACCCCGCCUGCUCGUUGGUUAAGGUCGGGUUAAUGAUCUAUAGGGGCGAUCGGGGCGAGCCACAUGGCGGGGGUAGGGGUGAAAUCCGUUGAUCCUCGCCAGGUGAACUAAAGCGAAGGCAGCUCGCAAGUACGCUUUCUUUGAUCAAGAACGAAAGUCUGGGGAUCGAAGAUGAUCAGAUACCAUCGUAGUCCAGACCCUAAAUCAUGCCGGCCAUGGAUGGGCUCUCGUCCAUCCCGACCCAGCCCGCACUUUAUAGGAAAC
rnacentral:rRNA from 1 species